GGAGGCGAUAUUUUAGGAGGAGUGAAAGGUGAUAAUAAUGGGGGUACUGGAAUAGGUGGCGGCAAAAUGGGUAUAUAUAGAGGAGGUGAAGGUGGUGAGGGAGGCGACAGUUUAGGAGGAGGUGAUAGUAAUGGUGGUAUUGGAGGAGGUCGCAGCAAAGGGGGUAAAUAUAGAGGAGGUGAAGGUGGUGGUGAUAGCGGGGAAAUUGACCGUUGAGGAGCGGGAGGUGAUAAUAAUGGUGGUACUAAAAAGGGUGAUGGCAAAGGGGUUAAAUAUAAAGGAGGUGAAGGUGGUGACAGUAAGGGAGGCGACAGUUUAGGAGGAGUGGGAGGUAAUAGUAAUGGUGGUAUUGGAGGAGGUCGCAACAAAGGGGGUAAAUAUGGAGGAGGUGAAGGUGGUGGUGAUAGCGGGGAAAAUGACCGUCGAGGAGCGGGAGGUGAUAAUAAUGGUGGUACUGAAAAGGGUGAUGGCAAAGGGGUUAAAUAUAAAGGAGGUGAAGGUGGUAACAGUAAGGGAGGCGACAGUUUAGGAGGAGUGGGAGGUAAUAGUAAUGGUGGUACUUGAGGAGGUCGCGGCAAAGGGGGUAAAUAUAGAGGAGGUGAAGGUGGUGGUGAUAGCAGGGGAGAUGACGGUUGAGGAGGAGCGGGAGGUGAUAGUAUUG
rnacentral:lncRNA from 1 species